AUGUCCAACAUUGUUGUCCAACAGAGUAAUCAGCUAAGGGCUCUGAUCAAUGAUAGAGGGAACCAGGCAGAGAAGGAUUCAUGGAAAUUUUACUGGGGUGGCCCUAAAUAUUCCAACAAACGAAUAUACCUAGAAUAUAUUGGGAACCCUGCUGAUGCCCCCAAACCAUUUCAGUGGAUAUGGAAAUCUUGCACCUUAGCUAAGCAAAAGUUUUUCUUCUGGUUACUUCUACAGGACAGACUAAAUACUAGAGAUUUGCUUACAAGAAUUUUUUUCCAUAUUGAGUCUGCAAGAUGUGUGCUAUGUGAUGAUGAACCAAAGGAAUACCUUACUCACCUAUUCUUUAGAUGUGAUUUCAGCCAGAAUUUCUGGAUGGCAAUUGGAUUUCAAUGGAAUACAAACUAUGAGCUUAUGGAGAUGCUAAGGGAGGGCAAGAGACACAAUAAUGUUGUAUGUUAUAAGGAAUGCCUUAUUGCAGGAUGUUGGAGUAUUUGGAAGCACAGGAACAUCAUCAUCUUUGAUCACAAACCCAAAAAUAUGCAUUACUGCAUUAGUACUUUCAAGGAGCACAUUGAGAUGAUCAUUAAGAAAGCCAAACCUAGUUUGAAAGAAGGGAUGCAGAGCUGGCUAGAUUACUUGUAG
rnacentral:rRNA from 1 species